ACCAAAAUCAUUCUUCUCCUUCGCAGAACCAUGUCUCUUAUACGCACCGGUAGUGAAUUACACCUCUCUGCGCCACCUCCAUCUCCUAUCCCCACCGCAAAAGGAUCUCGCUCUCCGCUGCAAAUGAAAUCUUAUGCGACUACCUUGCCAAGUCCUUAAAUGUCCCUGAACUUUCUCUCCCUGAUCCUCACCUUCCGCUCAAUGACGCUCAUCAGAUUCCCGC
rnacentral:misc_RNA from 1 species